UACAGAGGUCUCAAGCGUUGUUCGGAUUCAUUGGGCGUAAAGGGUGCGUAGGUGGCGCGCUAAGUCGGGUGUGAAAUUUCGGAGCUUAACUCCGAAACUGCAUUCGAUACUGGCGUGCUUGAGGACUGGAGAGGAGACUGGAAAUUCAUGGUGUAGCAGUGAAAUGCGUAGAGAUCAUGAGGAAGACCAGUGGCGAAGGCGGGUCUCUGGACAGUUCCUGACACUGAGACACGAAGGCUAGGGGAGCAAACGGG
rnacentral:rRNA from 1 species